AUGUCAAGUCAUAACCUUAUCAUUUUUAAGUCCAAACACACGUGAUAAGGUUCCCUGAUACCAUCAAUACAAUACGUUCCCCUCCUUGAUUCUUGAGAUUGGCACAAAACUGUUUCUGAAAUUUGAUUGCAUUGGAGCAACUCUUACAGAUUAUUUGCAAAAAUUCCCACCAACCAUGUGAACUAAUAAUAACUACAUAAAAAAGCCUAGCCUUUUACUCUUGGUGUUACAUGAGAAGGAAUUCUUAGGCACAUGAUUUUCGUAACUGUUUCAAUAGAAUUAGUGUUGCAGGUCACUUACAAAUAUUCCUACUCUUUCACCUUAAAGAAUGUAUAGGAAAGAACAAUAUUGUUCACCCCGUCCAUUUUGGGGUCCGUCUCAAACUCAGGAUCAAUGUAGAAGAAUACCUGAAAGAGAAAAAUUUUGUGUUUAACAUAAACUUCUCAGAAAGAGAAUAAAGAUCUCUUAAAAGAGUUUAGAGCUGGUCGAAAUCCGAGCUCGCCAAGGUAGGCCCCAAGGGGUUUAAAAGAUGGAUUGCAGUAAAUGGAUUUUACUCGCAAUUUUUAUGUGUAAUGAUUCUAUGUAUCCAAGUACUUUACAUCAUUAAUGCUUAGAUCCGCAUUGUACAAAACUUUGUUUGACCGACCAUCGGCUUCAACCUACUCGGCAGUAGCUGCGGAGUGUUUGUCCUACUUUAUAAAGCCGUUAUAAGGGAGAAGAUUUAUGAAAAACAAGGCAAUCCGGCCAUAUGGUUUUAUAAACAAAGGUACACAGAGAGAUAUGUUAUAUUACGUGUUAACGUAAGAAACAUCUUUCAAAGAAAAUAGUCUCGCUAUCGGUUCCUUUGGGUCGUCAUGCUUAUCAUGAUCAUGAAAACUCACCUCCGAUCAAUGUGGGAGGAAAAUAUUGAGGAUUUAGUUCAGGGAAAGUUCCCGAACUCUAUGAUAUUAAUGAACCCAAAUUUUCACUUCCGUCGUUGCCGACCAAUGUGAUCCUUUAAGAUUGCUAGCUUUCGGCUUUACCCAGUCUGAGGUACUAACUCGGAUGACCCGGUAGUAACAAUCACAGAGGUGCUCCCUUUACCACCUAGCCGAACAAUCGGGAACGUAGGGGUAAGCACAGGAGCCAGGCAACCCAGCUUGGCCAAAAUCUCAAGUCAAAUUGAUGCAUAUGUAUGGCUUUAUAACGAUGAUUACGGAAGGCGGCCCUCGUAUAUUAAAUACAAACGCCGAUGAUAUGUCUAUUUUGACUCUGUUGCGACCGUUUAUCAUUUGAAAGUGGCCCAUCGUCGGCUUCCGCCCCUUUGUAGAUGCUACGCAGGGUGUUUUCGCAAUAACAAAACAACCCUUAGCCGACGUCUCGGUGCCCGGAGGCAGCUGUUUUAGUGGAAACGAGGCAAUCAGAUAUGCGGGCUUUAUAACUUUCACUUAGUCAUAGGAGCUUUAAACUGGGGAAGCUAGCUAUGAGCCCCCGGUUAGUGUUCGGCGACAGCCGAGGUCAAGCCGUAAACACUUCGGCCAAUGUUACAAAUGGCCCGUCAUUUAACAUAGUCAUCGGAUCGCUGACCAGUUUACGCUUAUUGUGACAGUCAGUUUUCGGCUUUCUCCACUGAGGUGCUUAACCAUGCGAGCUGGAAGCACAAUCGCAGUGGUUCUCCCUUUGCACACCUAGCCGAACAAAGCGGAACAUAGGAGGGAAGCACAGGAGCCGGGCAACCUAACUAUUGACCGAAGACACAAUUCAAAACCGAUGCAUAUAUAGCAAUAUCCGAGAAUGUUUUCGCCGAAUCUCUAAAGGUGUCCGGCGUUGCACUGCGAGACUUAUGCGGGAAACACACAAAUAGUUUAAAAGUGUCAUAGGCUUGGAAAACCCAACAAUUUAGUAAAAACUUGACAUCCCAAUUAGAUCAAGUGUUCGGUGCCAAUCCGAAAAUUGGUCUUAGGAAAAAAAAAGGUGCUUCUGUCGUGCAUUAAUAUGACACAUCCGAUCUCAAGACCUCAAGCGGGUCAGCCCAAGGCUGUAACCUACUAUCCCGAAGGCGGAGUACUGCUCGUUAGGCCAGUUUAGCGAACUAAACUCGAACGGCUUUGAGAGAGAGACUAGGCUCCCCGGCUAUUGACCACACACUCGCGUCGAAAAAAGAAGUGAUAGAAAAAGAUUUUGCAAUGACCAAGAAAAAAACAUUUAUUAUAAAAUGGCUCAUACUAAUUUAAGAGCCCCCGAGUGACUUGGGCAAAAGAAUUUUAUGUAUAAUGAUUGUAUGUAUGGAAGUACUUAUAUCAUAUCUGUGUUCACCCAAACUUUAAACGCGUCUUAACCGACCGUCGGCUUCUCCCUCUUCGGUCAAGGACCGAAAAGUGUUAUGUACUCCACCUGUCGAGAAUAUCGACGGUGUUUCUGAUAACCAGGCAAUCAGGCCAUAAGGCUGUAACAGACAAAGCGCGCUCAGGGAACUUAUGCUAUAUUACUGACGAAGUGUAAGAAGCAUCUUCGAAGAAAAUAGUACCUCCACCGAUACCUUUCUUCAGUUGCUCAUUGUUACUAUGAGACUUGUGCAAUAGAUUUUUUGUACUCAUGAGUUCCGUUGUGUGCCGACCAUAAUUGAAAACAAUAAGAGCGCUAGUUUUCGGCUUCACCCAGUCUGAGGUCCGAGCUCGGAUGACCCGGUCGUGACAAUCGCAGAGGUGCUCCCUUUAUUCCCUAGCCAAACAAUCGGNNNNNNNNNNNNNNNNNNNNNNNNNNNNNNNNNNNNNNNNNNNNNNNNNNNNNNNNNNNNNNNNNNNNNNNNNNNNNNNNNNNNNNNNNNNNNNNNNNNNUUUACUUACUUUGUCCCGAUGUGCUUAUGGGUCACAUCACUGGCUGCCGCUCUCCGGAACCAUGCAGAGGGAGACCUGGCACUUGGGUGCAUCGCACCGGGAGACGCCCAAGUCUGAAGCCUCUGACUGGCCACCUUCCCCCAGCAGACCAGCCGAGUGAACAUCACACAAUCAUCAUAGCGCCGCACCGUCACGAACUUGGCCCAGACUCACCUCAGCACUUGCACUGCACUGCGCGCAUCAUCCAAACGAGUACCUGCGUACCCGGGCGCCCCGGUAAAGAUGACUGCCGCGCCGCACGGCAUGAGGUGGUACGUUCGUACGUGCGCCACGGCCGCCGUACGCAGCGAGCAGCGACUGUCUCCUGCGCCGCGCAGCAGCAACACGAUCGCAUGCAAUGCAACCGAACUGAUGCAGUGCUGCUGCAAAAGCCGGCGCACUCCUGCCGCCGCUAGCCGCCGAGGCCGAGGCGAGGCGCCUAGCAGCAGAUAUGGGCCGUGGAUGUCGUAGCAUAUGCUGGUGUCAGCGUCGGAGCUCGCAGCCUCCGUGGACGGGGGUGGAUUCGGUGGCGCUCGCCGGUCCCGGCGCCGUAUCCAGGCCCGGGGCCGGGGCCACGGCGAGGCGAUCCGCACGGCGGAUUCGCUCGCUGGCGCGACGCGGGGUCGCGGCCAAACAGUACCGCCGGUACAAGAAAAAUAUACUCCCAGCAGUGCCCUCCACUCGACGUGCGACAGCAGCUCAACAGCCGCAGCAGGGUGCCUGCCCUGGCCUCGUCUCUUCUCCCGUAGCCGCGGGGGCGGGGCCAAUCGAAUCCCGCAAUGCACAGGGCUGCCGGCUACCGUCCGAAAGACCUGUACCGUUCCCAUACGAUUCGAUUCGACCGAUCUUUCAUGUGAUCUUCUCUCCUCUUAAGCACUCAUGUCGCGACACACACAGGCACGUACUCCUAGCUGGUGAUACAUACAGUACAUCCCACGCCAGCAUGUUUGGCCACCAAGGCACCAACGGGAAUUCUACGUGGAAAUUAAACAGUACUACUCCCUUUGUCCCGAAUUACUUGGCGCGAAAAUGGAUAAAAAUGGAUGUAUUUAGAACUAAAAACUUGUCGAGAUACAUCCAUUUCUGCAACAAGCAAUUCCAGACGGAGGGAGUAUUUUUUUUUCUUUCAAUCUGCAUCCAGGAGCUACGUGCUUGUACGUACCAAUGGUCUUUCUUGGCAAGACUUGAGGGUUGAGAGGAAUGUCAAGUCAUAACCUUAUCAUUUUUAAGUCCAAACACACGUGAUAAGGUUCCCUGAUACCAUCAAUACAAUACGUUCCCCUCCUUGAUUCUUGAGAUUGGCACAAAACUGUUUCUGAAAUUUGAUUGCAUUGGAGCAACUCUUACAGAUUAUUUGCAAAAAUUCCCACCAACCAUGUGAACUAAUAAUAACUACAUAAAAAAGCCUAGCCUUUUACUCUUGGUGUUACAUGAGAAGGAAUUCUUAGGCACAUGAUUUUCGUAACUGUUUCAAUAGAAUUAGUGUUGCAGGUCACUUACAAAUAUUCCUACUCUUUCACCUUAAAGAAUGUAUAGGAAAGAACAAUAUUGUUCACCCCGUCCAUUUUGGGGUCCGUCUCAAACUCAGGAUCAAUGUAGAAGAAUACC
rnacentral:lncRNA from 1 species